CAACCCUCAGGCUCCCGCGCCUGGCGUUGGGGAUCGGCCUUCACCGGCCGGCCCCGAAAUACAGUGGCGGCCCCGCCCGUGUACCUCUGCGUAGUAGCACAACCUCGCAGCUGGAAUCGCGGCGGCGGCCACGCCGGAAAACCCCCGACUUCUGAA
rnacentral:misc_RNA from 1 species